rnacentral:lncRNA from 1 species
AUCCAAAGUUGUACUUCGUGGACAGAACCAACCUCCACAUACCAUGCAGACAGAACCCACCCCAAUAAUGAGGAUUAGCCUAGGCCAAUUCCAUACCCAUUGGUUCUUUGCCCUGGGUGUGACCAGCUACCAACAUCAAACCACUCUGCAUUUUGCUUCCCCUUGGCACAGGGUAGCAGAGCUGCAGAUCAACUGACAGACUCAAAAGUGGACAAGGCCAACACUCUGGUGGAGAAGAUAAGCCCCAGAGUGCUGGCAGCUCCAGGGAAAAAAAAUGGAGCUGGCCAGCAGAGCUUGCCUCAAGAAAAGUCCAUGGCUACUAUUUACAUCAUAAAAUCCAUCUAUCAGAACAUCAUGAAGACUGGAGAUUAUCCAUCCCUAGAACAUGUACUGGGGACCUCCUUUGCACUUGCUACUGAGAGACCACAGAUAACCAUAAUACUUGCCUUUCCUCUGGGGCACAGGGAAAGGACAUAAAACUCACACUUAAUAUGCUACAUGAUGCAUUGUCGGACAAUGGCGAUGCCUUAAUUGGGAUUUUCAAUAAAACUGUAAGUGACAACAACUACAACUGAUUCUUAAAGGGAAAAAGUUUGUAAAAGAAAGGACAUGUCUGCAACUUUUCCU